rnacentral:rRNA from 1 species
AGAGUUUGAUCCUGGCUCAGGACGAACGCUGGCGGCGUGCCUAAUACAUGCAAGUCGAGCGGACAGAAGGGAGCUUGCUCCCGGAUGUUAGCGGCGGACGGGUGAGUAACACGUGGGUAACCUGCCUGUAAGACUGGGAUAACUCCGGGAAACCGGAGCUAAUACCGGAUAGUUCCUUGAACCGCAUGGUUCAAGGAUGAAAGACGGUUUCGGCUGUCACUUACAGAUGGACCCGCGGCGCAUUAGCUAGUUGGUGAGGUAACGGCUCACCAAGGCAACGAUGCGUAGCCGACCUGAGAGGGUGAUCGGCCACACUGGGACUGAGACACGGCCCAGACUCCUACGGGAGGCAGCAGUAGGGAAUCUUCCGCAAUGGACGAAAGUCUGACGGAGCAACGCCGCGUGAGUGAUGAAGGUUUUCGGAUCGUAAAGCUCUGUUGUUAGGGAAGAACAAGUGCAAGAGUAACUGCUUGCACCUUGACGGUACCUAACCAGAAAGCCACGGCUAACUACGUGCCAGCAGCCGCGGUAAUACGUAGGUGGCAAGCGUUGUCCGGAAUUAUUGGGCGUAAAGGGCUCGCAGGCGGUUUCUUAAGUCUGAUGUGAAAGCCCCCGGCUCAACCGGGGAGGGUCAUUGGAAACUGGGAAACUUGAGUGCAGAAGAGGAGAGUGGAAUUCCACGUGUAGCGGUGAAAUGCGUAGAGAUGUGGAGGAACACCAGUGGCGAAGGCGACUCUCUGGUCUGUAACUGACGCUGAGGAGCGAAAGCGUGGGGAGCGAACAGGAUUAGAUACCCUGGUAGUCCACGCCGUAAACGAUGAGUGCUAAGGGUUAGGGGGUUUCCGCCCCUUAUUGCUGCAGCUAACGCAUUAAGCACUCCGCCUGGGGAGUACGGCCCCAAGACUGAAACUCAAAGGAAUGGAC